CCUAGCAGGAGACCACUGCCUAGGUUACAUUGUACCUAGGCAAGUGUUACACUGGUGGGAAAAAAGCAGCUAAUAGCUGGCAGGCAUUCUGGGCCUGGUUAAUGUCAAACUCAUGUUAGCUAUUACUAGUGUGCCUGCAUAGU
rnacentral:snoRNA from 1 species